UACAGAGGUCUCGAGCGUUAAUCGGAUUCAUUGGGCUUAAAGCGUACGUAGGCGGAUGUGCAGGCAUCGUGUGAAAUCCCCUGGCUCAACCAGGGAACUGCUCGGUGAACCGCACGUCUUGAGGCAAGUAGAGGCUGUCGGAACGAUAGGUGGAGCGGUGAAAUGCGUAGAUAUCUAUCGGAACGCCGAAGGUGAAAACAGGCAGCUGGGCUUGUUCUGACGCUAAGGUACGAAAGCGUGGGGAGCGAACGGG
rnacentral:rRNA from 1 species